CGCUUCUGCCCUGUUUACUUCAGAAAAAAAAUUGUCUUAUUGAUCCUGAGUACACACUUCGUGCAACUUCUGGUGGUUCAAGGUAUUUGUCUGAAAGCCUCAAGGAUUCAUUUUGGAUGCAAAUUCAUGCAUAUGCUGUGAUGGUUUGCUUUGAAUACAAUGUCCAAUGAGAAUGAACUUUAAGGAUUAUUGACAAAUCUGUUUGAAAAAGAAGCAUGAAGAAAAACCUUAUUGGUCCAUCUUGUGGCAAAAAGCGGGUAUUUCUUUGCUCAUUUGAAUGUUAGUGGAUUAUUUACGCUGGUGCAAUGUUUUGAAGAGAUAAAAUGCUCCCCACUGUGCUACAUGCAAAUCUCUGGAAUGUAAACAUAAAUAGUUGUUGAACAUUCAUAAUCAAAGACAUUUUUUAUAAUUAUUGUUGGAUAGUUCAGUCCUCUAAUAGCAUCAUCUGUUGUAAAUCAGCGUAGCUCUACCAAAGUCUGCAAAGCCCCUGCUGACUUGUACCAGAUGGGACUCAAACCCUUCACUCCAAGUUGAGCCCUUCUGGAGGGAAGGAAAAAAAUCUGAUAGUCCUUGAAUAUGAAGUUCUCUGUUAAUUCAUGGRAAGGUAGAGCAGCAGGGACUUCAUCCCCACCUCUAUCCCAGCCCUUACAUGGAGACAGUAUUUCUGUGCUCCAAGGAAACAGUUUCUCUGCCAAGUUAAUCCUUGGCCUGUAUGCUCAGAUUAUCACCGAGAUUUGUCAGAUAAUGAAUGCUCUUUAUAAUGUGAGGUCUGAUAUUUGGACAAAGACCACCAGCUCUUUAACACAGGCCAUCAAACAGCUGUUGGGUGCUAAGAAUUUUCUGUGAUUCACAGCCUGUGCUGUAUUUUUAGAUAUCUAAAGGUGAAGGGCUUGAUAUCCU